rnacentral:lncRNA from 1 species
UUGGUGUCAUGAUUGCUGAAAUUUUCAGAUUUUGGGUUUUUGAGAUUUGAUUGUUUGAAUGCACUCUUUAUAUCACCAAAUGGCUACUAUAAAAAUCUAGUGCAAGAAUUUUUUCAUUUUGGUUUGUUUUUAAGCGAAGUAAGUUACGUGGAGAGACUUGGCUAAGUUUUUCCUUGGUGUCAAGAUUGGUGAAAUUUUCAGAGACUGGGAUUUUGAGAUUAAAUUCUUGUAAUACACUCUUUAUAUCACCAAAGGGUUAUUAUAAAAAUCUCGUGCAAGAAAUUUUUCAUUGUCGUUGGUUUGAAAUCCAGUCAUGUUCGGUGGUAAGACUUGAAUAAGUUGGUCGUUGGUGCUAAGAUUGGGGAAAUUUUCAAAGUCUUGGUUUUUGAUAUUUAAUGGUUGAAGGGCACUCUUUGUAUGACCAAAUGACGACCUUAAAAAUCUUGGUGCAAGAUAUUAUUCGUUUUGGUUGGUUUUAAAGCUAGCCAAAUAUUGUGGUAAGACUUGGCUAAUUUGGUGUUUGCUGCCAAGAUUGGAUAAAUUUUCAAUUUCUUGCUUUUUGAGAUUAUAUGAUUGGAAAACACUCUUUAUUUCCCCAAAUGACUACUGUAAAAAUCCUUGUCCAACAAAGGUUUCACUUUCAAUGGUUUUGAAGCUAGCUAAUUUAGGUGGUGAGACUUAACCAACUUUGUCCUUGGAGCCAAGAUUUGUGAAAUUUUCAGAAUUUUGUUUUUGAGAUUUCAUAGUUGGAAUCCACUUUUUAUAUCAUCAAAUGGCUACUAUAAAAAUCCCGUGCAAGAAAGUUUUUCAUUUUCGUUGGUUUUAAAGCGAGCGAAGUUAGGUGGUGAGACAUGGCUAUGUUUGUCCUUAGUGUCAAGAUUUGUGAAUUUUCACAAUCUUGGUUUUUGGAGAUUUGAUUGUUGUAAUGCACUCUUUAUAUCACCAAUUGGAUACUAUAAAAAUAUUGUGCAAGAAAUUUUUCAUUUUGGUUUGUUUUCAAUCCAGUCAUGUUUCGUGGUAAGACUCGACUAAUUUGGUGGUUGGUGCCAAGAUUUGGGAAAUUUUCAAAGUCUUUAGUUUUUGAGAUUUAAUGGUUCCAGUUCACUCUUUGCAUCAUCAAAUGACUAUCGUACACAUCUUGGUGCAAGAAAUUUUCAUUUUGGUUGGUUUUCAAGCUAGCCAAAUUUUGUGGUGAAACUUGGCUAAUUUGGUGUUUGGUGCCAGGAUUGGAUAAAAUUUCAAUUUCUUGCUAUUUGAGAUUAUAUGGUUGGAAAACCCUCUUUAUAUCCCCAAAUGACUACUGUAAAAAUCCUUCUCCAAGAAAUGUUUCAUUUUCAAUGGUUUUCAAGCUAGCUAAGUUAG